rnacentral:rRNA from 1 species
GCCUACGGGGGGCAGCAGUGGGGGAUAUUGCACAAUGGGGGAAACCCUGAUGCAGCGACGCCGCGUGGGCGAAGAAGUAUUUCGGUAUGUAAAGCCCUAUCAGCAGGGAAGAAGAAAUGACGGUACCUGAGGAAUAAGCCACGGCUAACUACGUGCCAGCAGCCGCGGUAAUACGUAGGUGGCGAGCGUUAUCCGGAUUUACCGGGUGUAAAGGGAGCGUAGACGGCAGAGCAAGUCUGAAGUGAAAGCCCGCGGCCCAACUGCGGGACUGCUUUGGAAACUGCCCGGC